GGGAUAUCGUUUCACAAAGGAUAAAACACGCAAACGAAACUCGUUUUGGUCCUGCACGCAGGCUAAGGUUUUGAAUUGUGUAGCUAGGGCCUCAACGUGCUACGCCACGCCUGAUAAUUCGUUUCAAAAUGUCGCACUCAGGGGAGCGCAUAAUCACUCGAUCAUAACUGAGCGGCGGAAACCGGGUAUGCGAGCGAAACUCAUCAGAGAUCUAAAACGAGAGAAGGAACUUUCAACAAUUAAGCCUCGUACGAAAGAUAAAGUGUUUGUCAAACGAAAAUAAACUGUAAAGCAAAUUGUCCAAAGCACACACCAGCAGUCAGUUAUUACCACCGGCGUUCAAUCGGGCUGCACGGACGUUAUUUCGUACAAAACAACCAAUCGUGGCACAAUUCAAUUGGUUGUUAAUAAUUUCCCUUAUACGAAACAAGUGGAGCGACAAAACGCAAUCUAUUGGAAAUGCUGUCAGGCGAAACCUUUAAG